UUUUUGUUUUAUGUAUAAUGACCCUUAAACUUUUCCAUUGAAUAAUUAAUCUAUUUAAAUUUUACCUUUAAGUUAAAAUCCUAAAUUAUUUAUAUGAAUGUAAAAAGUGUAUCAACUAAACAUUGGGUCCUAAACAAAGUAACUGAAUAAUGGAAUGCUCCAGGUUAAAUGGGGAAAUAUAUUAAAAUUUCUUUUGGGGCUUUGACUUUAUUGCUUAUGGCAAACUUGAUGCUAAAAUGUACUAUACAUCACUACCGUGACAGGCUUGAGAAAAUGAAAAAUACAAAGCUUUACAUAAAUCAGCCAAAAGAUCAUAUUAAAAUGCAUAACCUUUAACAGAAGAAUCAAGACUUUUAACAAUUCAGAAGCUCCUUCUUCCUUAUGUAGUUGUUUUAGAUUUUUUCACACAGCUUUAUGAGAAGUAAUAUUUCAAAUUAAUUGUUGCAAAGCCACUGCAUUUAUAAAGAGACAAGGUUCACAGAAAUUUAGCCCCAAUUUACUGAUGUACCCUAUUAUCACUUAGUACUUAAUUUUAUUUUUUGUUGAAAUAAUCCAUGGGACAAUUAUAUGGUUUAUAUCAUUAUAAUAGCUCAUAGUCCGAGAAGUUGUUACUUUUAGAAACAUAAUCUCAGAGUCCAUUCUUUAGUCUUUCAUUUUAUUUUACUUUAUUUCAGAAAUCUCAUCAAAUAUCUUGAAAAAUUAGUAACAUUAAAUCAUCUCUGUGCUUUUAUUUUUCUCUUCAAUCCAACAAAUAUACUCUGUUUAAAACUGUUAGGCCUACAUGGAAUUCACUAUAAAUAUGGCUAAAUUACAGUGUAAUUCUAAUUCUAACUUUAAAUUGAAGUUAUUAUGGGUAACCAUUAUUCCCAAUGUUAUAAAUACAGUAACAUAUGUCACUAGUUUGAACAAGAUGAAAACUGAUGUCUAUAAUAUGAUCUUGUUUUUCUGAUAUGUAGUGGGCCAGACAGGGUGCUUGUAUAUUUAUUUAUAUUCUAAUAAGGAUUUGUAUUUUAAUAAGGAUAUUUUUAUAUUUUAAUAAGCUUAUUUAUCUAUUAUAUUUUAAUGAGAUAGUAAGAUGUGAGCAUGUAAUAACUAUUACUGAUAAUAUGGUUUCUUUGGGUAAAGGGUGAAUGAAGUGGGAAAUACAGAAAAGCUUAAUAUAUCUGUAAUUGUGACUUCUUACAGUGAGCAUAUAUUUUUAAAUUUAAAAGUAUUUGAUUAAGAAAAUGAGGUAGGGGGACAGUCUAAUGAGUUCUAGUGCUAAGUAAAUUCUUAAUGUUAUUGUACAACAUUUUAGUAGUCUCAUUAGAAGGAGACACACUAGAGCCCUUUAAAACUUCCCAUAUAAUGUAAGUGAAAACAGUGCCUACAAUGUAGGUUGACUAGUUGAUCUUAUAGUAAAGUCUAAGCAGUAGAUCCUGGAGGAACAACAACAACAAGAGCAAUAGCAACAAAAACAACAACAACAACAAUGACGACGACAACUAUAUAUGUAUGUAUGUAUAUAUGUAUAUAUCAAUUGACUAAAACUAUUUUGAUGGCAAGCUUCUUGAGUAUGUUAUGCACAGAAAUUUAUUGUCACAGCUCAUAGCAGCAUGUAUAAAUUCAAAGAUCUCCAUAGAGGUAUGUUACCACUGUCUUUAUACCACCUCAAAAAUAUUUCCUUACAGAGAGACAAAGGAGAAAUAUAAAGGAUGACUUUUAUUCAUCAACGUUUGGUUCAUCACAACUUUCCUAGCCCACUCCACCCUCUCCUCAUCUUUGCCUUCAAGUUAAAGAGCAGAAAACUGAUCUGGUCAAAAUCAGUGUGUUUAGGAAAAUCUCCAAGUGGUUACCAGGGGAUUAGCUGCAUCACAGCUGCCUUUCUCUCACUCAGUGAAGAAAGUGUUAUAAGUGCAGCUGCUCAAGCCUUUUCUUCACUCCAAGGUGUCUAGGGAGUCACCAGGUGAAGAUAGGAGAAAGGAGGGGGAAAAUGCUCCCUGUCAGAAGCAAUGCAUAGCAUUUUGAGGCCUAGAAGCAAGACAGUAUGAUGCCAGAGAAGGCUUGAAGAUAGUGACAGAAAAGGGAGGCAGAAAUUACUGUAAAUGAAAACAAAAAUAAACAAAUGGGAUCUAAUCAAACGUAAAGGCUUUUGCACAAUGAAGGAAAUCAUUAAAAUGAAAGGGCAGUCUACUGCAUGGGAGAAGAUACUUGCAAAUGAUAUGUCUGCUCUAUUAAAUCUAAGAGAUUGGAAUUGAAAGAUAUUAUUUUCGCCCAUCUCUAUCUGAAGAACAUGAAAGAUGUCUCAGCUAUUAACUCAGCAUAUGUGACCACAUCCAAACUGCCUGCCUGCAAGGUUGGAGAAGUCAUGUACCUGGCUGGGCAAAAUGCACUAGUACCUUGCACAAUGAAACUUGUUAAUGAUGGAAUACAAACAGAAGUUUCCAUGUCCUUAAGCCACACCCUGAAAAUUCUGGAAGAUCCGCCCAGAGGCGCUGGACUUCUCCACAUUCUCACGGCUUGCUGUUACGUAAUGAGCAGCAAGUUCAUUGCAACACUCUGGAUACCUGGCUGAAGAACUUAAGGACACAUCAAAAAGGUACCUACAGUAUCUGUUUUAUUUCUAGUCUACAAAAGAGCAAUUUAUGAAGAGGUUUUCUCCAGACAAUAUCAAGU